UCUCUGGUGGUCCAGUGGCUAAGACUCUGCACUCGCAAUGUAUGGGGCCCAGGUUCCAUUCCUGGUCAGGGAG
rnacentral:tRNA from 1 species